rnacentral:rRNA from 1 species
AGAGUUUGAUCAUGGCUCAGAACGAACGCUGGCGGCGUGCUUAAUACAUGCAAGUCGUGCGAGAAAGUCCAUCUUCGGAAGGACGAGUAAAGCGGCGAACGGGUGCGUAACACGUGGGCAACCUGCCCUCAGAAUGGGGAUAAGCUUCCGAAAGGGGGUCUAAUACCGAAUAAUAUCACGAGAUGACAUCAUCUUGUGAUCAAAGGUGGCGCAAGCUAUCGUCUGAGGAUGGGCCCGCGGUACAUUAGCUUGUUGGUAGGGUAACGGCCUACCAAGGCUACGAUGUAUAGCCGGCCUGAGAGGGUGACCGGCCACACUGGGACUGAGAUACGGCCCAGACUCCUACGGGAGGCAGCAGUAGGGAAUAUUGCGCAAUGCCCGAAAGGGUGACGCAGCAACGCCGCGUGUGGGAUGAAGCUUCUUGGAGUGUAAACCACUGUCAGUUGGGACGAAACACUGCAAUAAGCAACGAUUGCAGUUUGACGGUACCUUCAGAGGAAGCUCCGGCCAACUCCGUGCCAGCAGCCGCGGUAACACGGGGGGAGCAAGCGUUGUUCGGAAUCACUGGGCGUAAAGGGUGCGCAGGCGGGAAGACAGGUCAGAUGUGAAAACCCAUGGCUUAACCAUGGGCCUGCAUCUGAAACCCUCUUUCUUGAGUAUCGGAGAGGAAAGCGGAACUCCAGGUGUAGCGGUGAAAUGCGUAGAUAUCUGGAGGAACACCGGUGGCGAAGGCGGCUUUCUGCCGAAUACUGACGCUCAUGCACGAAGGCCGGNNAGCAAACAGGAUUAGAUACCCUAGUAGUCC